ensembl:lncRNA
AUUCAAAGUAUUAGAGAAUUAUAACCAUCCACAUAGAACCGAGCGAACUGCUUCUCCCCGAGGUUGAGAUCAUGUUUGAUCUCAAUAUUCUAUGUUUGAGCCACAUAUUCAAGCUACUGCAUAGAAACAUCAUGUUUUACUCUGUGCUGUGUAUGCCCCUUCAUAUGUCAGAGCCAAUGUGUCCCUUGGGAGAAAAAAUGUUCUGAACACAACCAUACAGCUCGACAAAGCUGUGUGUUCAACACACUGCAAUAUAAACGUUGCAUAUCGGUUUACUUAUGGUAUAGUCGGGUCUUAUGUUUGGUAGCAAUACUGACAUGACUCCCCAAAAAUUCUUUAUUUUCAAUCAUGUGUGGUCCUUGUGUAAAUAUAGACACUUUUUCUGUGGGUGGGGGGUGUUGUGUGUUUUGAAGCAUUGCAGACGCUCACAACCUGCCGCAUGGUGCAAAAUUAGGAUUUUACACUCCGAUGCCUUUCAAAAGCGUCUACAUCAGAGAAUGAGACCUUGUGUUGGGGACCGAAAUUCAAUGACCUAGUUGUGUAGGAUAUCUUAAUUUAUCACACUGUCAUGUCUGGGAGGAUAAAAUGUGCUAGACAAAGAGAAACCGAGAUUGUUAUCCCUAUUGUCAGGUGUGUACUGAAGACAAACAUUUUUGAUAAUAGCUGAUCAUAAGUGUCACAGUUUGGGUUAAUGUCUGGUUUUAUUUUGUAGUUUCUUGCCUCUGCUCUCCCUGAUGACUCCCUGACUCCCAACACUUUCUCUCACCAGGUAUGGUAUGAGAGGGAAUGAGACCGCCUACAGGUUGGAGAUUGACCAACUGGUGACGUGGUGCAGUCGAAACAACUUAGAGCUCAACGCCCUGAAGACAGUGGACUGUAGCCGACCCCUCUCACCCUGGACACAGACUCUUUGGCUCUUCUUCCAUCUGGCAGGAUGCUGCGGUCCAUCACGACCAAGACCUCUCACCACACAAACGCUUUCCACCACCGCAUCAUCAAGCCUCCCAGAUGACUGAGGAGCAAACUCUUCCCUGGACUUCUCCGUCCCGCUAGAUGUCUGAGAAGCCAGAGGUCCCUACUCCACUUGGUUUAUACGCUGGUUAAAUGCUCAAAUAGCGGGCUUAAUUUUUCGUCUUUGUUCUCCAGUGAAGGAAAAGCGAGGCAUAAAAGUAUAUGGUGACCAAACGCUACACCUCCAGCCACCAGUCUGUCAGGCUCCUGAAUUGCAGAUGACACCACCCUCAUUGGACUCUGGUGGGAAUGAGACCGCCUACAGGUUGGAGAUUGACCAACUGGUGACGUGGUGCAGUCGAAACAACUUAGAGCUCAACGCCCUGAAGACAGUGGACUGUAGCCGACCCCUCUCACCCCGGACACAGACUCUUUGGCUCUUCUUCCAUCUGGCAGGAGGCUGCGGUCCAUCACGACCAAGACCUCUCGCCACACAAACGUUUUUUCCCGUCAGCAGUUGGUCCGAGCCCCCCAUUGACCCAAAUACUCCAUCCCGGAAACAUUAUGCACUUUGGAUUCUUUCACCAUGCAAACAUAUGGACAUACAUAUGUGAAUACAUUUCUGUUUAUAUUGUUAAUUCUUGCUUGUAUAUUUGUCUUAUUUUACUUUAUUCUUUAUUGCACCAAUGCACAGAGUCCUCUAUAUGUAACCUGUGGCAAUAAAAGGCUUCUGAUUCUGGU